rnacentral:lncRNA from 1 species
AUGUAGGAGAUCAUACAGUGUUGGUCUUUCUGUGCCUUGUAUGUUUCACUUAACAUAAUGUUCUCCAGAUUCAUCUAAGUUGUCACAAAUGACAGGAUUUUGGUUUUUAUGACUGAAUAAAAUUCCAAUAUGUGGUGUGUGUGUGUGUGUGUGUGUACAUGUGUACACAUGUGCAUGCAUGCUGUGUUCAGAUAUCUUUUUGAGAUACUGGUUUUAUUUCUUUUGGACAAAUACCCAGAAGUGAGAUUUCUGGAUCAUAUCAGCCUAUUUAAAUAUUUCAUAACCCUCCAUAUUAUUUUCCAUAAUGGCUGUACCAAUCGACACUCCCACUAUUGGUGUGCAAGGAUUUAUUUUUGUGAACUUCCUUGCCAACACUUAUUAUUUCUUGUCCUUUUUCUGGCCAUUCCGGUGUGAUGUGACAUCUCAUUCUGGUUUUGGUUUUCAUUUCCUGAUGAUUAUUGAUGUGAGGCACCUUUUCGUAUGCCUGUUGGCCAUUACUGUGUGUUCUUUGGGGGGAAAAAAAAUGAACACUAAGGUCUCCUCUGUCAAUGUUUCCAAUCAAAUUAUUUGGGGUUUUUUUUGUUUGUUUGUUUUUAAAUUUUAUUUUGGUUGCUACAAGUUGUGUGAUUUCUUUAUUUUAGGUAAUAACCCUUUAUCAGAUAGAUGGUUUGCAAAUGUCUUCUCCUAUUUCAUAGGAUUUCUUUUCAUUUUCUUGAUUAUUUCCUUUGCUGUGCAAAUGCUUUUUCAUCUGAUGUAAUCCCACUUAUUAAUUUCUGCAUUUGUUACCUGCAUUUUUGGUAUCAUAUCCAAAAACUCAUCAUCAAGCCCCACCUCAAAGAGCUUUAUCCAUCUUUUCUUCAUGGGGGUUUUUAUGGCUUCAGAUCUUUAAGCCUUUAACCUAUUUAGAGUUAAUCCUAUCUUGUCCCUUUUCCCUUGCUGUAACUGAAUACUGUAGACUGAGUAAUUCAUACAGAAUGAAGAUUUAUUCAGCUCAUAGUUUAGAAGGUUGGAAAGAUGCAGAUUGGGCAGCAAUAUCUGGUGAUGUUUUUCUUGCUGGUGCAGAGUCCCAAGGUGACCCAGGGCAUCAUAUGGAAUGACGGAGCAAGUUUGCCAACUUGGGUCUCUUUCCCCUUAUAAUGCCACUAAUAACACCAUGGAGCCCUACCCUUCUGACCUUAAUCACCUCCCAACAUUUCUAUCUCCAAAUACCAUGGACAGAUUAAUUUUUCACCCUUUAAAUAAAUCAUGCAACAUAUUUUGGUCAACAAGGAUCCACAUAUAUACUGCUGGUACCAUACGACUAUGAUAGAGCUGAUAAAUUCCUAUCUUCUAAUGAAAUUUUGGGUGUACUAAUGGGUCAACCCAUCAUGUGUUUGUUGUGAUUCUGGUGUAAACAAACCUAUUUCACUGCCAGUUGUAUAAAAGUAUAGCACAUACAAUAGAGGAUGGUAUAUAAUAUACAAUAAUAACAAUAAAUGAGAGUUGCUG